UACGUAGGCAGCAAGCGUUGUUCGGAGUUACUGGGCGUAAAGGGUGCGUAGGCGGCCUUAUAAGUAUGGUGUGAAAUCUCCCGGCUUAACUGGGAGGGUGCGCUAUAGACUGUGGGGCUAGAGUGUGGGAGAGGAAAGUGGAAUUCCUGGUGUAGCGGUGAAAUGCGUAGAUAUCAGGAGGAACACCGGUGGCGAAGGCGGGUCUUCUGGGCCGAUACUGACGCUGAGGAGCGAAAGCGUGGGGAGCAACAGGAUUAGAACCGUACCUUCGUAG
rnacentral:rRNA from 1 species